rnacentral:rRNA from 1 species
CGGCGUGCUUAACACAUGCAAGUCGAACGGAAAGGCCCUGCUUUUGUGGGGUGCUCGAGUGGCGAACGGGUGAGUAACACGUGAGUAACCUGCCCUUGACUUUGGGAUAACUUCAGGAAACUGGGGCUAAUACCGGAUAGGAGCUCCUGCUGCAUGGUGGGGGUUGGAAAGUUUCGGCGGUUGGGGAUGGACUCGCGGCUUAUCAGCUUGUUGGUGGGGUAGUGGCUUACCAAGGCUUUGACGGGUAGCCGGCCUGAGAGGGUGACCGGCCACAUUGGGACUGAGAUACGGCCCAGACUCCUACGGGAGGCAGCAGUGGGGAAUAUUGCACAAUGGGCGGAAGCCUGAUGCAGCAACGCCGCGUGCGGGAUGACGGCCUUCGGGUUGUAAACCGCUUUCGCCUGUGACGAAGCGUGAGUGACGGUAAUGGGUAAAGAAGCACCGGCUAACUACGUGCCAGCAGCCGCGGUGAUACGUAGGGUGCGAGCGUUGUCCGGAUUUAUUGGGCGUAAAGGGCUCGUAGGUGGUUGAUCGCGUCGGAAGUGUAAUCUUGGGGCUUAACCCUGAGCGUGCUUUCGAUACGGGUUGACUUGAGGAAGGUAGGGGAGAAUGGAAUUCCUGGUGGAGCGGUGGAAUGCGCAGAUAUCAGGAGGAACACCAGUGGCGAAGGCGGUUCUCUGGGCCUUUCCUGACGCUGAGGAGCGAAAGCGUGGGGAGCGAACAGGCUUAGAUACCCUGGUAGUCCACGCUGUAAACGGUGGGUACUAGGUGUGGGGUCCAUUCCACGGGUUCCGUGCCGUAGCUAACGCUUUAAGUACCCCGCCUGGGGAGUACGGCCGCAAGGCUAAAACUCAAAGGAAUUGACGGGGCCCCGCACAAGCGGCGGAGCAUGCGGAUUAAUUCGAUGCAACGCGUAGAACCUUACCUGGGUUUGACAUGGAUCGGGAGUGCUCAGAGAUGGGUGUGCCUCUUUUGGGGUCGGUUCACAGGUGGUGCAUGGCUGUCGUCAGCUCGUGUCGUGAGAUGUUGGGUUAAGUCCCGCAACGAGCGCAACCCUUGUUCACUGUUGCCAGCACGUUAUGGUGGGGACUCAGUGGAGACCGCCGGGGUCAACUCGGAGGAAGGUGGGGAUGACGUCAAGUCAUCAUGCCCCUUAUGUCCAGGGCUUCACGCAUGCUACAAUGGCUGGUACAGAGAGUGGCGAGCCUGUGAGGGUGAGCGAAUCUCGGAAAGCCGGUCUCAGUUCGGAUUGGGGUCUGCAACUCGACCUCAUGAAGUCGGAGUCGCUAGUAAUCGCAGAUCAGCAACGCUGCGGUGAAUACGUUCCCGGGGCUUGUACACACCGCCCGUCAAGUCAUGAAAGUUGGUAACACCCGAAGCCGGUGGCCUAACCGUUGUGGGGGAGCCGUCGAAGGUGGGACUGGUGAUUAGGACUAAGUAA